rnacentral:rRNA from 1 species
GUAGGGAAUAUUGGGCAAUGGUCGGAAGACUGACCCAGCCAUGCCGCGUGCAGGAAGACGGCUCUCUGGGUUGUAAACUGCUUUUAUCUGGGAAGAAAAAGGCCAUGCGUGGCAAAUUGCCGGUACCAGAUGAAUAAGCACCGGCUAACUCCGUGCCAGCAGCCGCGGUAAUACGGAGGGUGCGAGCGUUGUCCGGAGUUAUUGGGUUUAAAGGGUGCGUAGGCGGCUGAUUAUGUCAGCGGUGAAAGACUUCGGCUUAACCGGAGCAGUGCCGUUGGUACUGGUUGGCUUGAGUGUCGGAGAGGUACAUGGAAUUGAUGGUGUAGCGGUGAAAUGCAUAGCUACCAUCAGGAACACCGAUAGCGAAGGCAUUGUACUAGCCGACAACUGACGCUGAUGCACGAAAGUGUGGGGAUCGAACAGGAUUAGAAACCCGUGUAGUCC